CUCGAACCGAUGAUUACUAGCUCAUGCGGACAGGCGCAUGUGUUAAGUCUAUGGCAGUGAUCACGUAUUUGUCUACUCAUGUUUAACAUCUGUUACGUCUGAGAUUAUGUUCCUGCUGAUAGAGCCGAGGCAAGCAAUGUGUACAUACGCGCAAAGUUUCACGACUUGGGUGUGCUCAUGUGGGGUACUCAUAGUGGGGGUACAAUUGUCCGCCCGCAUGCUAAAAUACUCCAUAAACGGGGUGCAGGCCAGUGUUCCCGCUAGCUCAGUUGACAUUGAGGGAAGCAGUUUUUUUUGGUGCAGAGAUUUAUAUCAUUGCAAAUUCUUCGACCAUCUUGUGUUCCUUUAAAAGAAGGCGUUUUUGUUGUUUCACCACUGCACUGAGACAUCAAGAACAACUUGUCCUUUGGAUCCAGUACUAAUUUAGAGCUAGACAGUAGUAGUCGGCUGAAGAUAAUUUCUGGCAACGCCAACCCAUGCCUUGCUCGAGUACUUCAUCAUGUGAUUUUUUGUCUUUACUAGAUCAUUAGAGUUCUUUCCUUAAGAACCAAAGCAGGUGGAGGAAAUUCUGUAAAGCCUUACAUGAUUCCAAUACUUAAUGAUGGCUUCUUUUUUCUUCGUCCUCGUGCUCUACGUUGAUUAUCAGGAGGAGGUCUCAACUCGAUCACAAUUUGAUGUACCAGGACGAGCCUGCUGGUGGCAUUGACAGGCAUGUUUAGAUUCCGUAGAAGGGUCGCACUGAUACACUUUACUUAAAAAAUGUCUACUUGCUUGAAUCGUAUAUGCUAGAUGACGUGCACUAAAGCUGUGGAAGUGUGCACUCUUAUUACAUCUUCCAUAGCCACA